rnacentral:rRNA from 1 species
UACGUAGGGGGCGAGCGUUGUCCGAAGUUACUGGGCGUAAAGAGCGCGUAGGCGGGCUCUUAAGUGAGGGGUGAAAGGUUCGGGCUCAACCCGGACAGUGCCUUUCAUACUGGGAGCCUUGAGUGCGGGAGAGGCAAGUGGAAUGGUCGGUGUAGCGGUGAAAUGCGUAGAUAUCGAGCGGAACACCCGUGGCGAAGGCGGCUUGCUGGCUCGCAACUGACGCUGAGGCGCGAAAGCGUGGGGAGCGAACAGG